GGAAGUGCCAUAGCUCUGGGGCAAAGCAUCUGCUUUGUAAGCAGAAAGCCCAAGGUUCAGUCCCUGUCAUCUCCA